UUAGUUGGAGGGGUGAGAGGCCUAGUGGACAGGGUCAGGUUAGUUGAAGGGGUGAGAGGCCUAGUGGACAGGGUCAGGUUAGUUGGAGGGGUGAGAGGCCUAGUGGACAGGGUCAGGUUAGUUGGAGGGGUGAGAGGCCUAGUAGACAGGGUCAGGGUCAGGUUAGUUGAAGGGUGAGAGGCCUCGUGGACAGGGUCAGGUUAGUUGAAGGGGUGAGAGGCCUAGUGGACAGGGUCAGGUUAGUUGGAGGGGUGAGAGGCCUAGUGGACAGGGUCAGGUUAGUAGGAGGGGUGAGAGGCCUAGUAGACAGGGUCAGGGUCAGGUUAGUUGAAGGGGUGAGAGGCCUAGUGGACAGGGUCAGGGUCAGGUUAGUUGAAGGGGUGAGAGGCCAAGUGGACAGGGUCAGGGUCAGGUUAGUUGGAGGGGUGAGAGGCCAAGUGGACAGGGUCAGGGUCAGGUUAGUUGAAGGGGUGAGAGGCCUAGUGGACAGGGUCAGGGUCAGGUUAGUAGGAGGGGUGAGAGGCCUAGUGGACAGGGUCAGGUUUGUUGAAGGGGUGAGAGGCCUAGUGGACAGGGUCAGGUUUGUUGAAGGGGUGAGAGGCCUAGUGGACAGGGUCAGGUUAGUAGGAGGGGUGAGAGGCCUAGUGGACAGGGUCAGGGUCAGGUUAGUAGGAGGGGUGAGAGGCCUAGUGGACAGGGUCAGGUUUGUUGAAGGGGUGAGAGGCCUAGUGGACAGGGUCAGGUUUGUUGAAGGGGUGAGAGGCCUAGUGGACAGGGUCAGGUUAGUUGGAGGGGUGAGAGGCCUAGUGGACAGGGUCA